UGUGAUUUAGCGUGUGGAGUAGGGACUGCCCACAGCAGAGUUAAUGAAGCAUUGCUGUGGAAAUGGUUUCUUCUCUCUCUGAAUCAGUGAAACCCUAUUACACACUGUCUCCAUUGUGCAGAAAGCAGACCGCCCAGGCAAGACCGUCACAC